AGCAGCCGCGGUAAUUCCAGCUCCAAUAGCGUAUAUUAAAGUUGUUGCAGUUAAAAAGCUCGUAGUUGAAUUUCGAGACCGGUUUACUGGUCGUGCUUUUGUACGUACUGGUAUUAUUGGUUUCUCCUUUCUGACGAAUCAUAAUGCCAUUAAUUUGGUGUUUUGGGGAAUCAGGACUGUUACUUUGAAAAAAUUAGAGUGUUUAAAGCAGGCUCACGCUUGAAUACAUUAGCAUGGAAUAACGAAAUAGGACGUUUGAUUUUAUUUUGUUGGUUUCUAGGAUCGACGUAAUGAUUAAUAGGGAUAGUUGGGGGCAUUAGUAUUCAAUUGUCAGAGGUGAAAUUCUUGGAUUUAUUGAAGACUAACUACUGCGAAAGCAUUUGCCAAGGAUGUUUUCAUUAAUCAAGAACGAAAGUUAGGGGAUCGAAGACGAUCAGAUACCGUCGUAGUCUUAACCAUAAACUAUGCCGACUAGGGAUCGGAUGA
rnacentral:rRNA from 1 species